rnacentral:tRNA from 1 species
GUUUUUCUAGUAUAAACAGUACAUGUGACUUCCAAUCACUCAGCCCCAACACAGGCCUUGGGGAAAAACA